AUGUUCACUUUACAUGUAAGAAUGUAUCAAGGGGCAGAUUAUACUGUGAGUAGGCCUUGGAUCCAUUUAAAGAAUAAACUUAGUUUUACCAAAGUUCAUUGUAAUGUCUUGAAGACAAAUGAGUUCCUUGAAGACAUUAUAACCUCUGCUCUCUCUCAGAGAGGUCAGAUAAAAUGACAGAGGCUUUUUUUUUUUUUUUUUCAGUAUUUUGUAAGAUGCAGAGGAAACUCAGCUGCAACCAGAUUACUUCCUGGUUGCAACCAGAUUACUCUCCCUGACUUGCAACCAAAUUGCUCUUUAAGCCCUUCUGAUGUGGAGAUUCUGGAGAUACCAUUACUCAUAAUCAGUAUUUCUUUUUUUUGGCUGCUGCAAUGACAAUGCUGGGUCCUUAACCCACGGUGCCACAAGGGAACUCCGCAUGAUCAUUAUUCUGAAGGAAUUUCAUUUUUAGUAGAAGCAGAGACAGAAACAAUGUAGAAAUGGGUGAAUAAUGCUCUACUUUUUUUUAUUUUUUGUCUUUUUGCUAUUUCUUGGGCCGCUCCCGCGGCAUAUGGAGGUUCCCAGGCUAGGGGUUGAAUCGGAGCUGUAGCCACCGGCCUAUGCCAGAGCCACAGCAACGCAGGAUCCGAGCCCCAUCUGCAACCUACACCACAGCUCACGGCAACGCCAGAUCGUUAACCCACUGAGCAAGGGCAGGGACCGAACCCCGCAACCUCAUGGUUCCUAGUCAGAUUCGUUAAUCACUGCGCCACGACGGGAACUCCGAAUAAUGCUCUAAACAUAAGUGAAAUCACCAGAACUUUUUGGGGAGAAUCAAAUCCUGCUAUAGUUGCUUUUUUUUUUUUUUUGGUCUUUUUGGGGCCACACCCAUGGCAUAUGGAAGUUCCCAGGCUAGGGGUCAAAUCGGAGCUACAGCUGCCAGCCUAUGCCACAGCCACGGCAAGAUAGGAUCUGAGCCACGUCUGUGACUGACACCACAGCUCACGGCAACCCCAUGGUUGCUAGUCAGAUUCGUUUCCACUGAGCCACUAUGGGAACUCCCUAUAGUUGCUUUUAAAACAUUUUUAGCAAAUUUGUAUUGAGCUAUUAUGUUCA
rnacentral:lncRNA from 1 species